GGGGCGGAACCUUAACUUUAAGAGCUGCACCCAAAAAACGCUGCUAAAUAAAACGUUUAGUCCACCUGGAUCAAUGGACUGGGAUGGGAGG
rfam:Halanaerobium praevalens DSM 2228, complete genome.